rnacentral:rRNA from 1 species
UACGUAGGGUGCGAGCGUUGUCCGGAAUUAUUGGGCGUAAAGAGCUCGUAGGCGGUCUGUCGCGUCGGUCGUGAAAACUUGGGGCUUAACCCUGAGCUUGCGGUCGAUACGGGCAUGACUGGAGUUCGGCAGGGGAGACUGGGAUUCCUGGUGUAGCGGUGAAAUGCGCAGAUAUCAGGAGGAACACCGGUGGCGAAGGCGGGUCUCUGGGCCGAUACUGACGCUGAGGAGCGAAAGCGUGGGGAGCGAACAGG